CGGCAGCACAGGAGAGCUUGCUCUCUGGGUGGCGAGUGGCGGACGGGUGAGGAAUACAUCGGAAUCUACUUUUUCGUGGGGGAUAACGUAGGGAAACUUACGCUAAUACCGCAUACGACCUACGGGUGAAAGCAGGGGACCUUCGGGCCUUGCGCGAUUGAAUGAGCCGAUGUCGGAUUAGCUAGUUGGCGGGGUAAAGGCCCACCAAGGCGACAAUCCGUAGCUGGUCUGAGAGGAUGAUCAGCCACACUGGAACUGAGACACGGUCCAGACUCCUACGGGAGGCAGCAGUGGGGAAUAUUGGACAAUGGGCGCAAGCCUGAUCCAGCCAUACCGCGUGGGUGAAGAAGGCCUUCGGGUUGUAAAGCCCUUUUGUUGGGAAAGAAAUCCAGCCGGUUAAUACCUGGUUGGGAUGACGGUACCCAAAGAAUAAGCACCGGCUAACUUCGUGCCAGCAGCCGCGGUAAUACGAAGGGUGCAAGCGUUACUCGGAAUUACUGGGCGUAAAGCGUGCGUAGGUGGUCGUUUAAGUCUGUUGUGAAAGCCCUGGGCUCAACCUGGGAACUGCAGUGGAAACUGGACGACUAGAGUGUGGUAGAGGGUAGCGGAAUUCCUGGUGUAGCAGUGAAAUGCGUAGAGAUCAGGAGGAACAUCCAUGGCGAAGGCGGCUACCUGGACCAACACUGACACUGAGGCACGAAAGCGUGUGGAGCAAACAGGAUUAGAUACCCUGGUAGUCCACGCCCUAAACGAUGCGAACUGGAUGUUGGGUGCAAUUUGGCACGCACUAUCGAAGCUAACGCGUUAAGUUCGCCGCCUGGGGAGUACGGUCGCAAGACUGAAAC
rnacentral:rRNA from 1 species